GACCCUAUAGUGCAGUUGGUAGAGCAUCCUAGAUAUUAUGGGAAGGUCCUAGGUUCAAAUCCUAGUGGGGUCA
rnacentral:tRNA from 1 species